AACGCAUAGCAGAUAGUGGGUAUAAAAAGUUGUCAACCAGCAUUGCAAUGAAUACAAGACACCAGUUAUAAGAAGCGAGUGACAGUUGAGGUGCCUCGGGAGACAACAUAUUGCACAAGUGAACUUCGAUUCUUGUCAAGUUCCAUAUGGAAAGGAGUUCAAUCACUGUGCAUACAGCAAGGCAUGCAACAAGUAACAACCCAUUACAUGUCAUGGCUGUACCCUCAAGAGAGUUUUCUUUAAGGUAAUGCCUCAGUGCUGCUGCUACAUGAA
rnacentral:misc_RNA from 1 species